rnacentral:tRNA from 1 species
GGGAGUGUGGCUCAGUGGUAGCGAGCCUGCCUAGCAAAAGCAAGACCCUGAGUUCAAAUCUCAGUACCACCA